rnacentral:lncRNA from 1 species
GGAAAAUAUAUAGAAAAUAGUUUCCAAAAUUAACACAUCAAUUAAACCAAAUGGAUGGUAAUAAUUGUGCUAAAAUAAUAAAUCUUUUAUAAAGAACAUUAUAGGAAAUAAAAUACGAAUGUACCCUGUGACUUACACAGGUGCUAUAUUAAUCACUGAGGUGUGAGUUAUAGAGGUGAAGAGUUUAUGCUUCUUUCCUUUGUAUUGAGCAUUCUGAUAAAUGAGAGUCUAAUGUGACAGGAAAAGAUAACAUAAUGCAUAUGUUAUUAUGCUUGAAGGAACAUGAAAAAAAAAAAGUGACUGACACUGUAUUUUGUUCCAGGUGGGAAUAAAAAGCAAGCAGUUCCUGGCCCAUAAUACUCCAGCCUAGGAUGUCUGACUGAUGGCAUGCUGGCACCAGCAUUGGAGGAAGUGAUGAGCUUCAGCUCCAGGUUCCUGUCCUGAGACCACAGCAGGAUGUGCCUUGGUCAAAGGCUUGGACUCUUGGAUCAUCUGGUGACUUCAGAAUUCUGUUUCAUCCAUUCUUCACUGCUUGAAACAUUCCCCUUUCCUAUACAAGGUAAAUCCAAAAUAUCAGGAGAGUUAACUAUGGCUAAAGCAAUGCAUACUUUCUGC